GUGCCAGCCGCCGCGGUAAUACGUAGGUGGCAAGCGUUGUCCGGAUUUAUUGGGCGUAAAGCGAGCGCAGGCGGUUUUUUAAGUCUGAUGUGAAAGCCUUCGGCUCAACCGAAGAAGUGCAUCGGAAACUGGGAAACUUGAGUGCAGAAGAGGACAGUGGAACUCCAUGUGUAGCGGUGAAAUGCGUAGAUAUAUGGAAGAACACCAGUGGCGAAGGCGGCUGUCUGGUCUGUAACUGACGCUGAGGCUCGAAAGUAUGGGUAGCAAACAGGAUUAGAUACCCUGGUAGUCCAUACCGUAAACGAUGAAUGCUAAGUGUUGGAGGGUUUCCGCCCUUCAGUGCUGCAGCUAACGCAUUAAGCAUUCCGCCUGGGGAGUACGGCCGCAAGGCUGAAACUCAAAGGAAUUGACGGGGGCCCGCACAAGCGGUGGAGCAUGUGGUUUAAUUCGAAGCUACGCGAAGAACCUUACCAGGUCUCGACAUACUAUGCAAAUCUAAGAGAUUAGACGUUCCCUUCGGGGACAUGGAUACAGGUGGUGCAUGGUUGUCGUCAGCUCGUGUCGUGAGAUGUUGGGUUAAGUCCCGCAACGAGCGCAACCCUUAUUAUCAGUUGCCAGCAUUAAGUUGGGCACUCUGGUGAGACUGCCGGUGACAAACCGGAGGAAGGUGGGGAUGACGUCAAAUCAUCAUGCCCCUUAUGACCUGGGCUACACACGUGCUACAAUGGAUGGUACNACGAGUUGCGAACUCGCGAGAGUAAGCUAAUCUCUUAAAGCCAUUCUCAGUUCGGAUUGUAGGCUGCAACUCGCCUACAUGAAGUCGGAAUCGCUAGUAAUCGCGGAUCGGCAUGCCGCGGUGAAUACGUUCCCGGGCCUUGUACACACCGCCCGU
rnacentral:rRNA from 1 species